GCCGGGGUGGUGAAACUGGUAGACGCAGGGGACUCAAAAUCCCCCGGUCCAUAGGACCGUGUGGGUUCGAUUCCCACCCCCGGCA
rnacentral:tRNA from 1 species